rnacentral:misc_RNA from 1 species
AAAUAACUCGGGUUUUGGUAGUUUAUUUUUCACUUUUGGUGCUUUGGUACCUAAGGCUUAAUAUUAUGUGGAAAUGCUCUUUGAGAAUAACAAAUACCACUCGACAGCAUCACUCUCCCUUACCAUGUUGUCCUAGUGCAAUUUAUUUGACUAUGAGUCCCUUUAGGGCAGAUACUACAACAUAUUUAUCUACCUAUCACUUUUGUACCUAGCAGCCAUAACAGUGACAGCAAUCUUGGGUCUGUCCAUUCUUAACCGCCCAAAAGUUGCAACAUUAAUCACAAAAGCGUUACAAUACGGGCAAAUCUCCUUUCA